UACGGGGGGGCAAGGCGUUGUUCGGAAUUACUGGGCGUAAAGGGCCAGUAGGCGGCCAACGUAAGUCCGACGUGAAAUCCCAAGGCUUAACCUUGGAACUCGCGUCGGAUACUGGAUGGCUUGAAUUCGGGAGAGGGAUGCAGAAGUUCCAGGUGUAGCGGUGAAAUGCGUAGAGUAUCUGGAGGAAUACCGGUGGCGAAGGCGGCAGUCCUGGACCGACAGUUGACGCUGAACGGCGAAAGCUAGGGAGCAAACGGG
rnacentral:rRNA from 1 species